rnacentral:rRNA from 1 species
AGGAUGAACGCUGGCGGUCUGCUUAACACAUGCAAGUCGAACGGAGUAGCAAUACUUAGUGGCGGACGGGUGAGUAACGCGUGAGAAUCUACCUUCAGGACGGAGACAACAGUUGGAAACGACUGCUAACCCCCGAUGUACCGCAAGGGCAAAUAUUUAUAGCCUGAAGAAGAGCUCGCGUCCGAUUAGCUAGUUGGAGAGGUAAAAGCUCACCAAGGCGACGAUCGGUAGCUGGUCUGAGAGGACGAUCAGCCACACUGGGACUGAGACACGGCCCAGACUCCUACGGGAGGCAGCAGUGGGGAAUUUUCCGCAAUGGGCGAAAGCCUGACGGAGCAAGACCGCGUGGGGGAAGAAGGCUCUUGGGUUGUAAACCCCCUUUUCUCUGGGAAGAACACAAUGACGGUACCAGAGGAAUCAGCAUCGGCUAACUCCGUGCCAGCAGCCGC